rnacentral:rRNA from 1 species
GACACGUGGUAUCCUGUCUGAAUAUGGGGGGACCAUCCUCCAAGGCUAAAUACUCCUGACUGACCGAUAGUGAACCAGUACCGUGAGGGAAAGGCGAAAAGAACCCCGGCGAGGGGAGUGAAAAAGAACCUGAAACCGUGUACGUACAAGCAGUGGGAGCCUCUUUAUGGGGUGACUGCGUACCUUUUGUAUAAUGGGUCAGCGACUUAUAUUCUGUAGCAAGGUUAACCGAAUAGGGGAGCCGAAGGGAAACCGAGUCUUAACUGGGCGUUAAGUUGCAGGGUAUAGACCCGAAACCCGGUGAUCUAGCCAUGGGCAGGUUGAAGGUUGGGUAACACUAACUGGAGGACCGAACCGACUAAUGUUGAAAAAUUAGCGGAUGACUUGUGGCUGGGGGUGAAAGGCCAAUCAAACCGGGAGAUAGCUGGUUCUCCCCGAAAGCUAUUUAGGUAGCGCCUCGUGAAUUCAUCUCCGGGGGUAGAGCACUGUUUCGGCAAGGGGGUCAUCCCGACUUACCAACCCGAUGCAAACUGCGAAUACCGGAGAAUGUUAUCACGGGAGACACACGGCGGGUGCUAACGUCCGUCGUGAAGAGGGAAACAACCCAGACCGCCAGCUAAGGUCCCAAAGUCAUGGUUAAGUGGGAAACGAUGUGGGAAGGCCCAGACAGCCAGGAUGUUGGCUUAGAAGCAGCCAUCAUUUAAAGAAAGCGUAAUAGCUCACUGGUCGAGUCGGCCUGCGCGGAAGAUGUAACGGGGCUAAACCAUG